AUUCAGAUGACGAGUCCCAGAUAGGACGAAAUGCGCGUUAUCCUGGAU
rnacentral:hammerhead_ribozyme from 1 species